CAUGAAAUGGGAAACUUUCCAAUUUCUUAUGUUUCUGUUUUCUGCAGCUGAUGUGGUUUCAAGCUUUGCGAAGGACGCUUUCUGAGCUUAAUGGAAACAAGGGAAAACUUAAGUAUGAUACUUUGAAGAGAUAGGCAUCGGCAAUUCCACGGACAAAGUGGGCGAAUUGAAGGCCCAGAUGAAAUCCGGCUUAUUUCUUAACAAACUUGAGAUCCUACAUGUUACGUUGAUAAAUCUCGAUGGUUCAACAGCUGCCCGUCCUACAGUUGUUCAAACAUCUAUUCUCCUUGCUACUGGGGCAGAUAACAAACCACCAUCAUCACGAAGAUUGAAACAGUUGGCUCAAACAUUAAGAAAUUCUUCUUCAAGAAACUUGGGUUUGAACCACACUCUGUUUGGGAGAGUGAAACAGAUUAGCCUGUCCUCUUAUCUGCAGCAUUCACUAAACAAUGCUGGCAGUGCUCAUCCCCCAAGCCCAGCUCCAGAACCUUACAAUCAACCCCAUUCAACUUAUCCGGGUGAUAAUGACAACCACCAUCACCAUGGUUACCACCAUUAGCACCACCAUCACCACCAUGAUUCUUAGUUAUCCGGGUUAGCAGCAUUUGACCCCUGCCCCUGCUCCUGCUCCUAUGCACAGCACACCAAUUUUUGUGAGUUGUGAUUCCAGUUGUGCACACAAGAAAGACAAUGGCAAUGGAAAGCACCGUUCAGGUCCUCGCAUGGAUCCUCCACUAUGGCCUAUGGCACCUGCAGCAUCUCCAAAUAGUUACGAAGCUUCAGGUCCAUAUGUAGACCGACCAGCAUUUCAUUCGAUGAUUC